UACAGAGGGUGCGAGCGUUGUUCGGAAUUACUGGGCGUAAAGCGCGCGCAGGCGGCCCUUUAAGUCUACCCGUGAAAUGCCGGAGCUCAACUCCGUGCACGCCGGGGGAUACUGGGGGGCUGGAGACAUGUAGAGGCAAGCGGAAUUCCGGGUGUAGCGGUGGAAUGCGUAGAUAUCCGGAAGAACACCAGAGGCGAAGGCGGCUUGCUGGGCAUGAUCUGACGCUGAGGCGCGAAAGCGUGGGGAGCAAACAGG
rnacentral:rRNA from 1 species